UGCAAAGGCAGAGUGUAGGGCUAUAACCU
rnacentral:piRNA from 2 species